rnacentral:sRNA from 1 species
GUUCGUGGACGUCCGUUGUGUCUCGAGACUAGGACGUGGCUCCAGGGUGUUCCAGACCCUAGAAGGGCCUCUCUUCAAAUACCCGUGUUUCCAGAAUGGUGGCAGCGGGCCCUCGUGGCUUGGGGAGAGCAGGCGCUGGGGGAACUGGGUGAGGACAGGCGAGCCCAGGCUCGACUGGUGGCCCCAAGGGGCGCCCAUGCCCGCUGUGAUGAUAGCAGCGCCCAGGUCUCUCUGUAGCCCCCAGAGUGCGGCCACUAAGGUGCUGGGUCAGCCUGGGUGGAAUGGAGGCAGGAUGGGGACCCCCAAACUCCUGUCACUGCUGCAGGGACUGCCCAGAGCAGCUGCAAGUGGGGCUGGCAGGGACGAGGAGGAGGUGGCCUGGGCUUAGGGGACCAUGUACAUCCGGAGUUGGAACCCAGGGGAGCAGCAGGUUUGGGGCCGUGAUGAGGAGAGACCUAGGGGUUGCCCGAUGGAGAGAAGGGACAGGAAGAGGCAGGAGCUUCGGAGACUGCUCGAAGCCACUCUAGCCUGAGGGACUGGAACUUAGUCCGGGGGCAUUAGGGAGCCAUGGGAGGAUCAGGAGCAGGGGCAAGUCAGGAUCAAACUCCCGUGAGAAGCCAGCCGGUCAAAUCCAGGCUGAUACGGCAAGAACGGCAGCUGCCCAGGGCCGUGUGGGAGCCAGACACGGCCCCUCGCUUCCCAGAAGAGGCCACGUGAAGCCGAGGCAGGAUGCAGGAGGGCCUCUGAGGCAGAGACCUGGGCGUGGGAGCGGUCCGCAGCUCAGAGUGGCUGGAGCAUCAUGUGCAAUUUGGGGUGCUGAGGAGUGCUCGGGCCAGCUGGUCCUUUUCCCGUCCCUCCCCGUGAAGGAGGGAGGCUGGUAGCUUUGCCAGCAGCUGCACCGCGGCAGGGGUGGCCCAUGGACCUGCCCGAGGGCCCGGUGGGUGGCCCCACUGCGGAAAUGUACCUCUGGGAGCAGCCUGAGGAGGCAAGGCUGGGGAUGCCGGUCAACUUGGAGGAGCAAAUACUCAACUCCACGUUCGAAGCUUGUGACCCUCAGAGGACAGGCACUGUGGCCGUGGCCCAGGUGCUGGCCUACCUGGAGGCUGUGACAGGCCAGGGCCCCCAGGAUGCACGCCUCCAAACAUUGGCCAACAGCCUGGACCCCAAUGGGGAGGGCCCUAAGGCCACUGUGGACUUGGACACUUUCCUGGUUGUCAUGCGUGACUGGAUUGCUGCCUGUCAACUACAUGGGGGAUUAGAGCUGGAAGAGGAGACCGCCUUCGAGGGAGCCCUGACCUCCCGGCAACUGCCAUCUGGAUGCCCAGAAGCUGAGGAGCCAGCCAACCUGGAGAGCUUCGGAGGCGAAGACCCCAGACCCGAGCUACAAGCCACAGCUGACCUGCUGAGCAGCCUGGAGGACCUGGAGCUCAGCAACCGACGUCUGGCUGGGGAGAAUGCCAAACUCCAGCGGAGCAUGGAGACAGCUGAGGAGGGGUCAGCACGCCUUGGGGAGGAGAUCUUGGCUCUGCGCAAGCAGCUUCACAGCACCCAGCAGGCCCUGCAGUUUGCCAAGGCCGUGGAUGAGGAGCUGGAGGACCUGAAGACUCUGGCCAGGAGCCUGGAGGAACAGAAUCGCAGCCUUCUGGCCCAAGCCCGGCAGGCGGAAAAGGAGCAGCAGCAUCUGGUGGCUGAGAUGGAGACUCUGCAGGAGGAGGUGAGCGGAGGCCCAGCACCCACUCCCACCCCUUCCCCAGUACUUAGGGUCUUCUUGACACCACUCCCUUCUGCCGCCAACACCCCAGCAGCUGCCACCAAACAACCUUCAGCCUGCUUGGGGAGGCCUCAGAAUGUCAGUAGUGUGGGAAUGUCCCUGAGGUUACAUCACACUGUGAGAACAGCCAUGGUUGACAAGAGUGUGAGGCAUGGGGUCAGCCUACAUGGCUUCAGGCUGAGGCCACCUACAUAAGAAUGGACCAGUCCCUCCCUUCUCUGUGCCUCAGUUGCCUCACCUGUAAAGAUGAACAGAACAAUGG